AUAUAACUUCUUCAUUGAUGGAGCGGGGCAUGCAAAGAAGCCUGAACUAGCCAGAGAAGUAUUUGAGAUGAUGCAGAGAAGUGGUAUUGAGCCUAAUAUGAAUUCUGACAUUCUUAUGUUACAAAGUUAUCUAAAGAAUAAGAGAAUAUCUGAUGCUCUAAAUUUUUUUGAUGCUUUGCGUCAGAGAAGAAAGAUUGGCAGUAAUUUAUACAGCACCAUGGUUGUUGGUCUUUGCAAAGUCAACGAAAUGAAUCAUGCUUUAUAUUUUUUGGGGGAAUUCCAGAGUGAUGGCGCGUUUCCUAGCGGAGAAUGUUAUGAGGAGCUUAUAAAACUGCUGUGCUCAAAUAAAGAAUAUAAAAGGGUGGUACAUCUUAUUAUUGACUUGGAGAAAGCUGGGCGCCGUGUUACUUCCUUCAUAGGUAACACACUGUUGUUGCAUUCCUUGAGAAGUGAAGAGCUCUAUGAUGCUUGGAUUCAAGUGAGGGACGUGCAGAAUUUUCCUUCUCUUUCAGUCCUCGGCCAACUCAUUGGUGCAUUUUCUGGUCGUGUUCGACUAAGCCAAGAAAUUAACUGGGAACUAGUAAUUGAACGAUGCUUCCCGCUUAAGCUUUACACGUACAAUAUGUUGUUGAGGAGAAUAAUUAUGGAUAAAAUGGAUGAUGCUUGUGAGUUGUUUGAUAGAUUAUACCAGAAAGGUUAUGAGCCUAAUAAAUGGACUUGUGAUAUCUUAGCACAUGGCCUUCGUAAGCAUGGAAGGACAAAUGAGGCUAGGAGACUGACGAAAAUGUUUAAACAUUUUCCUCGUACCAAAUGACUCUGGUAAUCAUAACAGCUACAGCUUCUGAAAAAUGCAGACUUCAACAAAUUUUUUUCGAGGAAAAAAAGUUGGAUGCUAGUUGAUUGAUUACAUGGAAUAUCUCAUUCUUCUCUACGUGGCUUUGUUGAUCAUUUGUAAGAUAAGGGUCGUGUGUAAUUCAUAUUUUAAAGCAAUUCUAUGAUAGAUAGAAGUGAUGUAAAGCAUAGAAAUGUAAGAGCUAAUCGAAUGAUUUGGCAGUUUUGAACAUAACAAUGAAUUCAGCACUUAUUAAUUUCUGGUCAUUUAAAGGUGCAGGGUUCUUGUUCUUAACCUUACUUUGUCCGAGGAACAUGAAACCUAACCAAAUGGGAUUCUCUUUGUAUAAAAAAAAAUUUCCCUUAUUAUGGGGCAUAUAUAAUGAUUUAGA
rnacentral:misc_RNA from 1 species